UAAGUUUUAGUUUAUAAAAAUACUAUCUUGUCAAGAUAGAGAUAAGAGAUCUUAAACUUAU
rnacentral:tRNA from 1 species